CCAAAUGCUCUUUUAAGAGCCACCCACCUUUUCUAUAAAAGAGCUG
rfam:Merops nubicus contig15069, whole genome shotgun sequence.